rnacentral:lncRNA from 1 species
GCCAAAAUUUUCAUAGCAAGAUAUUUGAUAAUCACGAUAUUUUGCUAAUUAUUACAUCAGCCAAAUAAAGAAAGCAUUUCACACAUGAAAAUCGGACACUAUUCUGUCUCAGCUAACAUACAUAUACUCUGCAUCUAUUAUUUAUUUCCUUUAGACAAAUUCAUUGUACAAUUUGAUUCAUCCUAAGUUUUCCUCCAAUUUUGAGACUCUCCGCUAGUCAUGUAAGCAGAACUGGUAACGACCCAAAAGAGCACAAAAUAUUGAUCCGCAUAUCACAAUCAAACUGCAGAAUGACCACCAAAAUUAAUUACCCAGCGGUAUCCGUGAAAGCUCACUAUAAAAUAUCAAGAAUGAAACAGUGUGCAUCACUUGGCAUUUUUGCGGACAAACACCAAAAAUCGGUUAUAUUAGGUUGAAGGAACUAAAGGUUUAAAGCAACAAAUCAAAUACUCAUGUUCAACAGAGAGUGACAAACUCAUAACAUUUAACAAAACCAUGCGUUUAAGUGCGGAAUGAAACUGAAAAUAUUGAGAUAAGAUAAAAUGAACGUUUGCAAUUACUUGACUGCUUCUUUCAAAAUUCAAACAAGGAUGAACCUCUGACCGGAGCCGGGACUGUUAAACGGAAAAUCAUCGACAACAACGACAAUACCUCGACUUGCAGCUGAACGGAGACUCGGACAGCAACUUCCGACGACUCGAAGCUCACCGGAAAAACUUGAACCAAAUAAAAACGACGAAGAUGAACUCCAACUGAUUUUGAAUUUAUUUUUAGCUAUUUUUGAGUUGGAUUUUGGACUGAAACUGUAGUAUUUUGAAGGUGGUUUGGCUGGGUAUGCGUCAAUGGAGCAGAGAUGGCAGGUUCGCCGAUGGGGGAAGGUCUUUAGUUCUCUGCCGCUACUUUUGUAUUGAAGAGAGGGUCUGUUUUUAUGUGGAGAUGGGAUCGUUUAUUGUAAGGGAAACGGGUGGAGAAGAAGGUGAAGAAGAGGGGUUUUCGAUGGGUGUUCAGCGGCUGAAGAAGAUGACUAACGGGGGGGUGGGGUUUUCCUUUAAAAGCUGCGCCCCAAAUUUCUUCUCCCCCUUUUAGAUUUUUUAAGCAUUAAUUUAUAGGUAGAGUCUAGGUUUAGGUGUAUCUUUGUGUAUUUUGCCCAUUAGUCCCUAGAUCUUUUGUGUUA